UGAUCAGUCCUUCCAGUAGAUUCAGAUUCAGACCUGCGUGUUUCACCUGCUCCCAGCCAGGACGUCAUGUUCUCCUGCGUGUUGUGCUUCGAACUGGUCGUGGCGUGGACUCCCAUUCUUACCACCUUACCUGCCAGGUUACCUCUCUUUGGCUCCUGUUCUCAAUCUGCCUUUUAAAGCAGUGUAAGGUCGUCGCCACUACACGCUCUCUCACACCCCCCUCUGUUAGUGUCAGGCAGCAGGAGGCGUCUUCAAAGAAACGCUUCAU